AUUAGCAAAAUCUUAGUUCAAAGCUUAUACUGAAGAUAUUUCUGGGUCCUUUUGUUUUAUGUUAGAGCAAAAUGCUUUUAUUUGCAAAAGUGUAAAUUCUGUUUUGUGCGUAAAUUGUUUACUGUUUGGCGUGUGAACAGGCUACUGGUAUUGCAUAUAAUAAUUAGAUGGUAUACGCUUAGUUCAUCAAACAAUUAUGUAUAGAUCCACCAGAGGAAGGAGGCUGAUGCCAGCAAUUAGUAGUUUUAUUAAGUGGCUUGUGGCCAAUCACUAAUGCGUGUCUUGAUCAUCCAUUGACCGAGAAUGGCAUAUUGUCUACAUUACGCCUUUUACAAUCCUACAGUCUACUGUCAUUGGUAAACAUAACUAUUUUUAAAAUUCUGAAUCAAUAAACUGCAAUUCUAAUGAUUAUGUUUUGAUGUUCUCAUUCCAGUCCAGUCAAACCUGGUCUACCUUUGACUAGUGGCACUAGUAGGUAUAAGUCCUUCAGUCUAUGAACAAUGACCAUAAGCACGGGUGGGCCCAUGUUAAAGGGAGGGGACAGUUGCACCCAAAUAAUGAGAUUUCCCAAGCUCUAAUCAAAUCCACAAUAACAUGAUUAUAAAUAUUAAAUAUCCAUACUGUUUAUACUCCCAAAUAAGCAUUGUGGUUCGCCGCUGACCAUAAGUUUUAUUAGUUGGUUAUCAAAUAACCAUGGGAUUAUGGGACCACCAUUGAUUGAACCAGUAAUGCCUCCAGAGUUUGGUUUGUUGUAACAUCUUAAAAUAGUGCUUGCAGCAACAUCAUGUAACAUCUCGUGUUCCUUUGCAAUUAUUUCUCAGGUGGGAAAGAGUAGCUCAUUUUGCACUUCACUGCUGGAAUGAAAACCAGAAAAGGCCAUGUUAUGAUGACGUGAACUCUUUGUCUCAAAAACUUGAUCUUGUGUCUGUGAAUCUGUUACAUCUUGCCAUUGGGAUCAUUAGUAAUUCUGAUCCUAGCUUUUGAAAAGCAUGCUUGACUGCUGCCGUUUCCUUGCCACCAGGUGUUUAUGAUAGGCUUGUUCAGACUCAGAGAAACACUUUCUUCUACUUAAUUGAUAAAAUUCAUACUGAAUCUAGUUUCUUGGAAGUGCUGAGUAACAUAGAGGUUGCAAUUCAGAAAAAUGAAGAUCCAUUUCAGCAAAUCCGAUGGCUUUGGGUUUUGGAAAAAGAGACCAGCAGUGGAUACAACACAAAUGAAUCUUUCAUGUUUGAAGAUGUGUUCUCUUUGUGUGCUCGACACAAGGACAGAUUGGAAGCUGCAUUUUUGAAUGUGAAGUCCAGGUUUUGUAGUGAGGUGGUAUUUGAGGAUGUUGUAACUAGUCACAGGAUGCUGCUUCAGAAGUAUAGAAAAACUAGAAGGCAAUAUAUAAAUGGAAUGGUUUCACUUCAUGAUAAA